rnacentral:rRNA from 1 species
AUUGAACGCUGGCGGCAGGCUUAACACAUGCAAGUCGAACGAGUGGCGGACGGGUGAGUAAUGCUUGGGAAUCUGGCUUAUGGAGGGGGAUAACGACGGGAAACUGUCGCUAAUACCGCCUUCCCUAGGAUGAGCCCAUGUGGGAUUAGGUAGUUGGUGGGGUAAUGGCCUACCAAGCCGACGAUCUCCAGCUGGUCUGAGAGGAUGACCAGUAACACGGGAACUGAGAAACGGCCCGGACUCCUACGGGAGGCAGCAGUGGGGAAUAUUGCGCAAUGGGGGCAACCUGACGCAGCAAGGCCGCGUGAAUGAAGAAGGCCUUCGGGUGGUAAAGUUCUUUCGGUGAGGAGGCGGUAAUCAAAGAAGAAGCACCGGCUAACUACGUGCCAGCAGCCGCGGUAAUUC